rnacentral:lncRNA from 1 species
UCCUCUGCGGCGGCGGCGGUGGCUGCUGCGGGAGCCGUGAUCACCCCAUCGAAGUCAUCCCACCCGCCCUUCUCCGCUGCCUACCGCCUCCCCUUCCCCCUCCCCAAGCCCCUCCAUUCACUCUCCACCCGCCACCCCCACGUCCGGCCCAUCUCCGCCUCCGCGGACCGCCGCCAGCUCCCCUCCGCUGCCGCCCCCACUGCCGAUGCCACGACCGCCCCUCUCCUCCGUAACUUCGCCCCGGAUGAGCCCCGCAAAGGCGCCGACAUCCUAGUCGAGGCCCUUGAGCGGGAGGGCGUCACCGACCUUUUCGCCUACCCCGGCGGCGCCUCCAUGGAGAUCCAUCAGGCUCUCACCCGCUCGCCAUCUAUCACCAACCACCUCCUCCGGCACGAGCAGGGGGAGGUCUUCGCUGCCUCUGGAUACGCCCGCUCCACUGGUCGCCCUGGCGUGUGCAUCGCCACCUCCGGCCCUGGCGCCACCAAUCUCGUCUCCGGUCUCGCCGAUGCCCUCCUUGACUCCGUCCCUCUCGUCGCCAUCACCGGCCAGGUCCCUCGCCGCAUGAUCGGCACCGACGCUUUCCAGGAGACCCCCAUCGUUGAGGUCACCAGAUCCAUCACCAAGCAC